CCUACGGGUGGCAGCAGUCGAGAAUCAUUCACAAUGGGGGAAACCCUGAUGGUGCGACGCCGCGUGGGGGAAUGAAGGUCUUCGGAUUGUAAACCCCUGUCAUGUGGGAGCAAAUUAAAAAGAUAGUACCACAAGAGGAAGAGAUGGCUAACUCUGUGCCACCAGCCGCGGUAAAACAGAGGUCUUAAGCGUUGUUCGGAAUCACUGGGCGUAAAGCGUGCGUAGGCUGUUUCGUAAGUCGGGUGUGAAAGGCGCGGGCCCAACCCGCGGACGGCACAUGAUACUGGGAGACUAGAGUAAUGGAGGGGGAACCGGAAUUCUCGGUGUAGCAGUGAAAUGCGUAGAUAUCGAGAGGAACACUCGUGGCGAAGGCGGGUUCCUGGACAUUAACUGACGCUGAGGCACGAAGGCCAGGGGAGCGAAAGGGAUUAGAUACCCUAGUAGUC
rnacentral:rRNA from 1 species